rnacentral:rRNA from 1 species
GAUGAACGCUGGCGGCGUGCUUAACACAUGCAAGUCGAACGGAAAGGCCCAAGCUUGCUUGGGUACUCGAGUGGCGAACGGGUGAGUAACACGUGGGUGAUCUGCCCUGCACUUCGGGAUAAGCCUGGGAAACUGGGUCUAAUACCGGAUAGGACGAUGGUUUGGAUGCCAUUGUGGAAAGUUUUUUCGGUGUGGGAUGAGCUCGCGGCCUAUCAGCUUGUUGGUGGGGGAAUGGCCUACCAAGGCGUCGACGGGUAGCCGGCCUGAGAGGGUGUACGGCCACAUUGGGACUGAGAUACGGCCCAGACUCCUACGGGGGGCAGCAGUGGGGAAUAUUGCACAAUGGGCGCAAGCCUGAUGCAGCGACGCCGCGUGGGGGAUGACGGCCUUCGGGUUGUAAACUCCUUUCGCUAGGGACGAAGCGUUUUUGUGACGGUACCUGGAGAAGAAGCACCGGCUAACUACGUG